rnacentral:rRNA from 1 species
AUUGAACGCUGGCGGCAGGCCUAACACAUGCAAGUCGAGCGAGAGGCGGACGGGUGAGUAAUGUCUGGGAAACUGCCUGAGGGAGGGGGAUAACUACUGGAAACGGUAGCUAAUACUGCAUACCAUCAGAUGUGCCCAGAUGGGAGUAGCGAGUAGGUGUGGUAGCGGCGCACCGAGGCGACGAGCCCUAGCUGGUCUGAGAGGAUGACCAGCCACACUGGAACUGAGACACGGUCCAGACUCCUACGGGAGUCAGCAGUGGGGAAGAUUGCACAAUGGGCGCAAGCCUGAUGCAGCCAUGCCGCGUGUGUGAAGAAGGCCUUCGGGUUGUAAAGUACUUUCAGCGGGGAGGCGUUACCCGCAGAAGAAGCACCGGCUAACUCCGUGCCAGCAGCCGCGGUAAUAC